AUUGAACGCUGGCGGCAUGCCUUACACAUGCAAGUCGAACGGUAACAGGUCUUCGGAUGCUGACGAGUGGCGAACGGGUGAGUAAUACAUCGGAACGUGCCCGAUCGUGGGGGAUAACGAAGCGAAAGCUUUGCUAAUACCGCAUACGAUCUACGGAUUAAAGCAGGGGACCGCAAGGCCUUGCGCGAACUGUGCGGCCGGUGGCAGAUUAGGUAGUUGGUGGGAUAAAAGCUUACCAAGCCGACGAUCUGUAGCUGGUCUGAGAGGACGACCAGCCACACUGGGACUGAGACACGGCCCAGACUCCUACGGGAGGCAGCAGUGGGGAAUGUUGGACAAUGGGCGAAAGCCUGAUCCAGCCAUGCCGCGUGCAGGAUGAAGGCCUUCGGGUUGUAAAAUGCUUCUGUACGGAACGAAAAGACGCUGGUUAAUACCUGGGGUUCAUGACGGUACCGUAAGAAUAAGCACCGGCUAACUACGUG
rnacentral:rRNA from 1 species